AUGAACGCUGGCGGCGUGCCUAAUACAUGCAAGUCGAGCGAACGGACGAGAAGCUUGCUUCUCUGAUGUUAGCGGCGGACGGGUGAGUAACACGUGGAUAACCUACCUAUAAGACUGGGAUAACUUCGGGAAACCGGAGCUAAUACCGGAUAAUAUUUUGAACCGCAUGGUUCAAAAGUGAAAGACGGUCUUGCUGUCACUUAUAGAUGGAUCCGCGCUGCAUUAGCUAGUUGGUAAGGUAACGGCUUACCAAGGCAACGAUGCAUAGCCGACCUGAGAGGGUGAUCGGCCACACUGGAACUGAGACACGGUCCAGACUCCUACGGGAGGCAGCAGUAGGGAAUCUUCCGCAAUGGGCGAAAGCCUGACGGAGCAACGCCGCGUGAGUGAUGAAGGUCUUCGGAUCGUAAAACUCUGUUAUUAGGGAAGAACAUAUGUGUAAGUAACUGUGCACAUCUUGACGGUACCUAAUCAGAAAGCCACGGCUAACUACGUGCCAGCAGCCGCGGUAAUACGUAGGUGGCAAGCGUUAUCCGGAAUUAUUGGGCGUAAAGCGCGCGUAGGCGGUUUUUUAAGUCUGAUGUGAAAGCCCACGGCUCAACCGUGGAGGGUCAUUGGAAACUGGAAAACUUGAGUGCAGAAGAGGAAAGUGGAAUUCCAUGUGUAGCGGUGAAAUGCGCAGAGAUAUGGAGGAACACCAGUGGCGAAGGCGACUUUCUGGUCUGUAACUGACGCUGAUGUGCGAAAGCGUGGGGAUCAAACAGGAUUAGAUACCCUGGUAGUCCACGCCGUAAACGAUGAGUGCUAAGUGUUAGGGGGUUUCCGCCCCUUAGUGCUGCAGCUAACGCAUUAAGCACUCCGCCUGGGGAGUACGACCGCAAGGUUGAAACUCAAAGGAAUUG
rnacentral:rRNA from 1 species